ACGCUGGCGGCGUGCUUAACACAUGCAAGUCGAACGCUGAAGCCUAGCUUGCUGGGUGGAUGAGUGGCGAACGGGUGAGUAACACGUGAGUAACCUGCCCUCUUCUUUGGGAUAACGCCCGGAAACGGGUGCUAAUACUGGAUAUUCACUGGCCUUCGCAUGGGGGUUGGUGGAAAGGUUUUUUCUGGUGGGGGAUGGGCUCGCGGCCUAUCAGCUUGUUGGUGGGGUGAUGGCCUACCAAGGCUUUGACGGGUAGCCGGCCUGAGAGGGUGACCGGUCACAUUGGGACUGAGAUACGGCCCAGACUCCUACGGGAGGCAGCAGUGGGGAAUAUUGCACAAUGGGCGAAAGCCUGAUGCAGCGACGCCGCGUGAGGGAUGGAGGCCUUCGGGUUGUAAACCUCUUUCGCUCAUGGUCAAGCCGCAACUUGGGUUGUGGUGAGGGUAGUGGGUAAAGAAGCGCCGGCUAACUACGUGCCAGCAGCCGCGGUAAUACGUAGGGCGCGAGCGUUGUCCGGAAUUAUCGGGCGUAAAGGGCUUGUAGGCGGUUGGUCGCGUCUGCCGUGAAAUCCUCUGGCUUAACUGGGGGCGUGCGGUGGGUACGGGCUGACUUGAGUGCGGUAGGGGAGACUGGAACUCCUGGUGUAGCGGUGGAAUGCGCAGAUAUCAGGAAGAACACCGGUGGCGAAGGCGGGUCUCUGGGCCGUUACUGACGCUGAGGAGCGAAAGCGUGGGGAGCGAACAGGAUUAGAUACCCUGGUAGUCCACGCUGUAAACGUUGGGCACUAGGUGUGGGGGCCACCCGUGGUUUCUGCGCCGUAGCUAACGCUUUAAGUGCCCCGCCUGGGGAGUACGGCCGCAAGGCUAAAACUCAAAGGAAUUGACGGGGGCCCGCACAAGCGGCGGAGCA
rnacentral:rRNA from 1 species